CCUACGGGGGGCUGCAGUGGGGAAUUUUGCGCAAUGGGCGAAAGCCUGACGCAGCGACGCCGCGUGGGUGAUGAAGGCCCUCGGGUUGUAAAGCCCCGUGGGGAGGGAAGAAUAAGGGUAUGUAAAUAGCGUAUCUGAUGACGGUACCUCCUUAGCAAGCACCGGCUAACUCUGUGCCAGCAGCCGCGGUAAGACAGAGGGUGCAAAAGUUGUUGGGAAUUACGGGGCGUAAAGCGCGUGUAGGCGGCUGGAAGGCCCUUGGCUCAACUGAGGAAGAGCAUUCGAAACUGCGCAGCUUGAGUUCUGGAGAGGAUGGUGGAAUUCUCGGUGUAGAGGUGAAAUUCGUAGAUAUCGAGAGGAACACCAGUGGCGAAGGCGGCCAUCUGGACAGAAACUGACGCUGAGACGCGAAAGCGUGGGUAGCAAACAGGAUUAGAUACCCUGGUAGUC
rnacentral:rRNA from 1 species